rnacentral:rRNA from 1 species
AGGGCGGGUCUAGUAUAGCAUUAUACCGUGAAACUGCGAAUGGCUCAUUAAAUCAGUUAUCGUUUAUUUGAUAGUACCUUACUACUUGGAUAACCGUGGUAAUUCUAGAGCUAAUACAUGCUAAAAACCCCAACUUCGGGAGGGGUGUAUUUAUUAGAUAAAAAACCAAUGCCCUUCGGGGCUCUUUGGUGAUUCAUAAUAACUUAACGGAUCGCAUGGCCUUGCGCCGGCGACGGUUCAUUCAAAUUUCUGCCCUAUCAACUUUCGAUGGUAAGGUAUUGGCUUACCAUGGUUUCAACGGGUAACGGGGAAUUAGGGUUCGAUUCCGGAGAGGGAGCCUGAGAAACGGCUACCACAUCCAAGGAAGGCAGCAGGCGCGCAAAUUACCCAAUCCCGACACGGGGAGGUAGUGACAAUAAAUACUGAUACAGGGCUCUUUUGGGCCUUGUAAUCGGAAUGAGUACAAUUUAAACCCCUUAACGAGGAACAAUUGGAGGGCAAGUCUGGUGCCAGCAGCCGCGGUAAUUCCAGCUCCAAUAGCGUAUAUUAAAGUUGUUGCAGUUAAAAAGCUCGUAGUUGAACCUUGGGCCUGGCUGGCCGGUCCGCCUCACCGCGUGUACUGGUCCGGCCGGGCCUUUCCUUCUGGAGAUCCUCAUGCCCUUCACUGGGUGUGUUGGGGAACCAGGACUUUUACUGUGAACAAAUUAGAGUGUUCAAAGCAGGCCUUUGCUCGAAUACAUUAGCAUGGAAUAAUAGAAUAGGACGUGCGGUCCUAUUUUGUUGGUUUCUAGGACCGCCGUAAUGAUUAAUAGGGAUAGUCGGGGGCAUCAGUAUUCAAUUGUCAGAGGUGAAAUUCUUGGAUUUAUUGAAGACUAACUACUGCGAAAGCAUUUGCCAAGG